rnacentral:misc_RNA from 1 species
GGAAAUUUAAAGAUCUGUGCUGGAUGUUAUUUUUAACUUUGUGGGGUAAGGAGCUUUGUUGAGGAUGGCAUCUCUUAGGAUUACAAGUGUUGGCUUUGCCUGCUUGUGGCUAGCCUCUUAUAUGGCUAUAAGAGAGUAAGAAGUCGACGAGUUUUGCCAAGCUCCACUCUCUUAGAAUCACUGGUAAUCGAUUUAUGUUUAAACUACUUAAGACCCUGACUUUUAGUUGGAAGAGAAGUUUCUGUCUCUAUUUUGGGAAGUUCUCUCAUU